CACUCUAGUAUUCUUGUGUAGGAAAUCCCAUGACAGAGGAGCCUGGCAGGCUACAGUCCAUGGGGUCACAAAAGAGUCAGACUCAACUUAGGGACUAACAACAACAACAACAUAUAACCCUUUGGGUAGGGUUAUAUAAACAGAUAGACCUUGGUUUAAACUCCAGCUCUAUCACCACCCAGUAGCUGUGUGAUAUCUUGGGCAAUGUUACUUCACCUUUCUGAACCUCAGUUUCCUCAUCUGUAAAAUGGGGAUAAUCUCGGUAAUCACACCUAUCUUGUAAGGCAUGAUUUAAUGGUCAAGAGUUGCAGACUUCGGAGCCAGACUAUCUGGAUCCCCACCUAACUCUGCCACUCACUAUGUGGCCUUGGGAAGGUCACUUCAUCUCUCUGAACCUCUGUUUCCUACUCUGUAAAACACAGAUAAUGAUGGUGCCUACCUCACUGAGUUGUUAUGAGGAGUGUAAAGCAUUUAUAAUCCACUUGCGUGGUAGGGCCCUACCAAGAAAUAAACCCUUAUGGAAGCACUGUACACAUAGCAAGUGCAAUUUCAGUAUUUGCUAAAUAAAUAAAAGGGACAUUUGAGAAGAUUAAGAAAAUGUGUAUGAAGACAAGUGGCUAGAUUGGAGUCAGUGAUUAAAAUUUGUACCGCCAACCUUGCACUCCUGCCCCACCUCCAGCCUGCCCCAGGCCUGGGCACAUGGUACGUGCAGGGUAUAUACUUAUUGGUGACAGUUCAAUCAACUCUAAGAAAUAAGUGUUACUCUCUGUCCCUCAAGGUUUAUGUUCUUUCUUUGCAAGGGGAAGCUGGGGCUGAACUUGAGAGCCUUGUGAAGGGAGAUGUAAUUUUCCUUAUUUACUAACAUUUACUUGGACUGGUGUCUGGGACACCCAAAAUAUGCUAUGAAUCAGUCAGAGGAUAACAAGAUCUGCAGUCCUGUACAGAUUACUCACUAAUUUGACAUUUGGGGAUUUUUGCAAAAUGUUAGGGAACAUUUGACAAGCUGCAAAUUGCUAUCUCUAUAAAAUGCGUUUGAAUCUGAGGAUGGGCAGCCUUCUCCACUGAUGUGGUUCCGUUUGUUCCUAGCACCAGCUGUUGCAUCCUGACAAGGUAGCUCCUUUUUAUUUUCUCCCCCUGAAGUAGAAAGUGGUGGAAGUUUGCCCUGAAAACACAAUAACUAAAAUUCAUUGAGCACCUACUAUGGGUCAGGGGUCUUGACAUUAUUUGUCUCGUGUUAUCUUCACAAUCAUCCUCUAAGGUAUGUAUCAUUAGCCUCUCUAUUUUUCAGCAAGGAGAUUGAAGUUCAGAGAGGUUAAGCAACUUGUUUAAGGCCACACAGUUCUGAAUUUCCUAAGCUAGAAUUUGAACCAGGAUCUACUUAACCCAAAGUCUGGAUUCCAAUCCAGCAGGCUGUCUUACUCCACCAGAGCAUCAUCACAUUCUGACUUGGAUCUCCCACAACUGGAGGGGCAAAGGAGAGGAAAAUUUCUUGGUAUAUGGGGCAUCCCCAAAGGGACAAUAAGUUUCUCAAGACACAUUGUACGCUUGAACUUGACUCCCAGCUGCUUGGUUGUGUUGUGUAUUUGGUAAGUGCUUAAGAGAUGCUCAUGGAAAUGAAAAUCCAUUCCUGUGAAUCUUAAUACUUUCGUACUCACCACUUCAAGUAUUGAGAGUGAGUGAACAAUUUCUUUCUCUAGUUAGGAAUAUUUUGUUGUAAUUUUAAUAUUAUUAACUGAGGGAAAAGCACAAUGACCAAAUGAUUUUAUAGUAAUUUUUAUUUUAUUCAUUUCAGUAACAUCUAUAAACUGUAAAGAGUAGUAGUCUGAAGCCUAUUCUUUAACCUACUUACUGGCAGUGUUUGUUGCUUGCAGAAAUGCAGGCAAGGACUCUGGGACCUAGGAGGUGGGAGUUGGGUGGGCAGGGUUCUGGCUUUGAAUCAGUGGGCCAAGGAUUUGGCUUCUUUUGGCUUCUCUUUCUCCACUUUCUUUUCUAUACAGUUGAAAGCCACAGCCGUGUUAGCAAUUGCCACUCAAUUAAGAGCGCUAAUUCAAAUACAAACUGGUAGAUGGAUAGGCUUAUUCCUCUGGGACUUAAUUAGCCUAGAACUGGUCCAAGCAACAUUAGCUUCACUCAAAGUAUCAUUACACACUGUCCAAAUGGUCUCCUAAAUGUCACCCUUGGAGGCAAGGGGACAGCAUGGGCUAGUGAGUCAAACACCUGUUUAUCUGGAGGCCCUGGUACAGAGUCUGGCUCUGUUUCUAAUGACUGAUCAAGCCAGUUUAGCUCUCAGGAGUGCUCUAAACUCAUCUGUAAAAUGGGGAGAUGGAAGAAGAUGACCUCUGAAGUCCCUUCCAGGUUUGUACUCUACAAAUCCUCAGUAAUGGAGCUGAAGCACCCAAACCAUCUUAAUAGGUACCAGUUGUCACCCAGCUUCUCAUGUCUGCACAGACCAGCUCCCAAAGGAUCAUGCUCAAAACAUUGCUUUGGGUCUCUCUGGAGGGGAGCCUUUCAAUUUUCAUGUCCUAUUAUUAACCUCUUCCCAAGCUCUGUUUUCCAAGUUUAGGCCGGCUCAUCAGAGUUGAACAUGGACUAUUUGGAUUUGUGCCCAAGCUGUUCUCCGAGCCUGAUAGCACAUUCAUUACUCCCUACCCAUGGUUUCUGCUAAAUGACCUCGUUAGUGCUAUAAUUACAUGAUGUUGCUCUUCAGAAAGCUGGGGGUGGGGUGGGAGAUGAGUUAACGAAGGCCAAGUACUGAGAUGGAGUUCGUUGUAAACAUACUGAAUGACGUCUACCUUCCCCAGGCCUGAUUACCCAUGGGGAGUUGGAAGGGAAGUUCUAUGGUCUUUUUCCUCUCCUUUCUUUUUCAUUUCUCAUUAACGGAUAAUGAUAACAUAUACAAAUGUGUUGGUGGUAGUUGGUAAAUACAUGAAUUUGAAAGCUGGGUGGUGAUAUUUUUACAACUUAAUGUAUAUGGAACCAUACAUUUCCUGGAAGUAAAGAAAUGAAAGCAAAUGUCUUCUGAGCACCUAUUUAGGUUUUUGUUCAUCUUCGCAACAAAUUUAUGAGCUAGUUAUUAUCCUUGAUUUACUAAUGAAGAAGCAGGUUCAGAGAGGUGUAUUUUCCAAGGGCAAAAACAAGUAUAUGGCUGAGUUAGGAGUUGAACCCAGGUGUCCCUGACUCCAAAUCUCAAUAGCCCAUGCUACCUCUCAGUUCAUUCAUUCACUCACUCACUCAUUCAGUCAUUUGUUCAACAAAUAUACUUUGACCUCUAUCUGAUGACAAAAUCUAAUCACAUAAUUUCAGAGUUUCUAUUUACUCUAUCUAAUUUAAUUUUACAGAUUCCUCAGAUGACCCUAAACUCAGUGGGGUCUUCUUUUGUAAUAAUUUUCUCAGUCCUCUCAGGCUUCCACCUUGGGGAUCAGAUCUCAAAUCUGAGAUUCAGAACCCUAGGUGUCUGAGUGUGUGCUCAAUCCCUCAGUCGUGUCCGACUCUUUGCGACCCCAGGCUGUAACCUGCCAGGCUUUUCUGUCCAUGGUAUUCUCCAGUCAAGAAUACUAGGGUGGGUUGCCAUUUCCUACUCUGGGGGAUUUUCCUGACCCAGGGAUCAAAACUGCAUUUCCUGUACUGGCAAGUGAAUUCUUUACUACUGAGCCACCAGGGAAGCCCCCAGGACCCUGGGACGUAUGUUUAAAGACCAUCCUGUGCAAACGUCUAUUUUUUUAGUUAAGGAAACCGAGGUUCAGUGGUUUUUUGAAGUGGUAAGCUUUCCAUUCCAGUACAUUCUAGGGAUGUCAAGCGUAUAUUUGAAUUUACUUGGGGUGCUGAGAAGUGAUGAUUGUGUGCUGUAACACAGCGGUCCCCAACCUUUCUGGCACCAGAAACUGGUUUCUAGGAAGACAAUCUUUCCGUGCAUGGGGGUGGGCAAUGAUUUCUGUUUUGCCCGCUGCUAACUUCCUGCCGUGUGGCCCAGUUCCUAACAGGCCAUGGACCCAUAGUGGUCCAUGGCCCAGGGGUUGGGGACCUCUGCUGUAACAAAUACAAAAAAUUUCCCCUGCUUUCUGGGACAGUUCACAGUGCGUGUGCCUGACAAGAGGUACUUGUCUCUCUACUGCACACAUCAGUUGAUUCACAAUGAACUUUUUCAGAAGCUUAUUAACUACAAAACUUUGUCGUCACACUUUUGUGACAGAGAAUCCGUUUUCCCAGACUAGAUCUCAGAAGCAUUCAGAGUCUUCUUUGAGAUUUCUUUUUGGGUGGUGGUAAGGUGAACCAGGAGAGUCAAAUACCUUUACUUGUCCCUACAGAAUUCUUUCUGCCAAUUUUUUUUUAAAGUGGAAAACACAGUAUGUUGAAUAUGAGAGAGAUGUCUCUACUUAGGGCAGAAUAAACGAUGUGAUAGUAAUAGUAACAGGAUGCAACUUUAACCAAGUGAUGGACUUUAUUAAAACAGGGAGUCUUACCCAUCUGAUUACUAAUUAGUAUUUCAUGGUAGAACUUGGAAUUUGGCAAACCAUGCAUUUAAAAAUGUGAGCAUCGUUUGUUUGACAGACUGUCAAGACACUCAUGCAGGCUUAAUGUAUUAGUUUAUUCUAUAGUAAUCAAGUUGUUAUUAUAACUUCAAGAAAACUGGAAAAAUAAGCCUUUCACAGUCAAAUUAGUCAUAGGAAAGAAACUAAAAGAACCCCCCAACUUUGAGCAACAGUAGGGACUCUAUAGUAGGGAGUUGGGGUGUGAAACAGCAGGAAACCAUUAUCGCAUGCAAUCCUAGUUUUAAUGACUCCACUAGAACAUUAUAAACCUAUAAUAUAUAUGCCUCAAAAUAAAUGGUAGAUCUCAUAGUAAAAGCCAACUCUUUAUUCCACACUGAUCAAUUUGGGAGAACUGGUCCCUUCUUCUGGAAAUACAUCAUUAAGCUGCAGGUUUCACCUCAGAAUAACUUUUGGAAGAAUUCUUCAAACCUCUUAAAGUAAUUCACUUAUAUUCCUCUUCUAUUCUUAAUACCCAAAAAUAUACACAGGAGAUGCAAAUACACCUCUAGAAGUUUUGAAUGAGUGGACAAAGCAGUGUUAAAAAUUCAACAGCACUAAUUACUAGCUGAGCAGUAUAAAAACCUCUGAAUAAAUGUCAGCUGAGGAGAUAAGCUCUUAUCUUAAUCUAAUGACUCCACAGACUUAAUUUGUCAGGCCAGCCUAGUUGAUGAAAAACAGGUUUCUAUUCUCCAGUGUUAGCAGGAGCAUCUUUCCAAAUCUUUGAAGUUGGAUAGUAAUACCAUCAGUGUCAUCCUGUAAAAAUCUUCUGACCAAGCCAAUUUAAGUCCUAUUGUCCUGUUACACUAAUUAAAAUUGUUCCACCCCCAUUGGACAAAUAUCUGAGUGAAGCCAAUAUAUUUUUAGAUUUUUGUACAUUUUGAACUAAUCACCCUCAACUCCCAAUGUUUUGUGCUUUUUUCAUAGGGCUGGAACAUCAGAGACCAUCUGUCUUCAUAUAGGGAGGCUGAGAUUUCCAGAGAAAUGCUUUAAUUCUGAGGAAUUCAUUUACUGAGAGGCCAUGUAGCAGCGUAGCUAAGCACUUUUCUGAGGCAGAAAAGCCUGGGGAAUGUUUGCUGUGUCACUUACAAGCUGUGUGACCUUGGGUAAAUGUCUUACCUUCCUAGCCUCAGUUUAAUCAUCUGUAAAAUGGACAAUAAUCAUGGAUAUCAAGAAGGUUAGAUAAAAGAACAUACACCAAGUCCUUAGAGUGCCUGACCCUUACACUUAAUAAAGGUCAGCCUUCAU